rnacentral:lncRNA from 1 species
UAUUUUAUACAAUCUGUAUGCAUAGUCGGCCAGUGUUAGUAAAUUCGUGAAUUUUUGCUGAAUUAUUCGCGAAUUUUUGAAAAAACGAAUUAAACGGGCAUUUUCGUAUUUGUUCGAAAAAUUCGGAAAAAAACGCGAUUUUUUGGAGAAAAAUACUUAUUCGCGAAUUAUUCGCGAUUCGCGAAUUAUUCGUUCAAAAAAACGGCCAGUGGGCCCGCGCCUGGGCCCGCGCUCGCGGCAGGGCCUGCUCUUGCACGUGCGCCCGCGAGCGCUGCGCUCGAGGGUAGUGAGCCAUGGGGCUCGUGGGCCUUGCGGGCCUUGUGGCUCGCCCAAAACAGAAAAAAAAAACAUACNUAAUCUCUUAUGGACUAUCUUAAUCUCUUAUUUGCUUAAUUAUUUAUUUAUUUUGAGGCAUAAUAUAGUUUGCUAUUUUUUUUUUACUUAAUUAGCUUAAUUUUUUAGCUCUUUAUUCUUAUAUUCUUAAGAAAUAUGAGUAUUUAUACUAAUAGCAUAAAUCUUGAGAGAAAAAAAAACUUAAUUUAAUAGCCGAAUUUUUGAUCCCGAAUUUUUAAUUGAUUAACGUAUAAUAUCCGUAUAAAUCACGUAUCCGAAUAAUUGGCGAAUCCGUUUUUUAGCCGUAUUUUUCAACGAAUUUAAAAUUAGAAGACGAAUUUUAUCCGAAUUAUACCAGUACUGAAUUUUUGCGGAAUCCGAAUUAACUAACUAUGGCCAAUAGUAUUCCAGGUGCCGAAUUGUUCAUCUCAAUCUUUUUCUUGCUAGAUGAGCUCUGCAUAAUCCUUCAUGGAUUUCGCCCCUAAUUAACAAGGCUUCUUCAGAUCCUAAACAUUUCAAUAGCACUUUUUCGGCUGUUCUCUUAUAGAGCUGCCCAUUUAAUAGACAAUAGCUGAGUGCUCUUUUUCGAACAUGAUAUUCAACCUGUUUAUUAUGGUCAACCAAAAACUUAAUCAAAGGCUUUCUCUAGUCUUCUUGAAUUUCGAUAGGAGCAAUCAUCAUCGGUUCUCAUAUAUGAACCAAUGGUAAUAGCCUUCUCUCUAUUUUCACUUGAUCUCUUUUCGGUUCUUUGUAUCCUGAAGCCGAUUGAGCCAAAUCAUUGGUUUGCUCGUUUUCUUCUCUCGACAGAUGCACCAACUCUGCUUCCCCGAAACUACAAAAUAACUCUAUUAUUUUCUUUAAAUACUCUUGCAGAUUUCAGUUUUCAUAUCGGUACUCCCUAUUUAUCUGUUUAAUCACUAGUUGUGAAUCGCCAAUGAUUUUAAGUGAUCGUUCUUCUA